UGCGUUCAAGGGUUCAGAAGUUGUGGAACGCCAAAAUGACCAUUUUUCAGCUACUAUGAUAAAUCAUAUUACUUGGGACACAAACAUGUCAUAUUACUUGGGACACAAAUAUGUCUGAACCAUUUUUAGAGGUUGAUGUGAAGUUGAAUCUAUGUCUUGAGGUUGUUAUCUUACUGGCUUCAAAGAUCAUGACAAUUACUUGGAUAUUUAACUUCAAUUAUGCCCCGUGACAAAACAUUGUUCUUUUGGGUUGUCCAGAUAUCCAUUUGUAUAUGUUUUUCCCUUCCAAAAUAAUAUGAAAUUGUUAAGUUUUGCAGUUCCUUUUAGGUUUAUUGAAUUUUAAAAUUUUCAGGCUCCUGGUGCGUUACCUUAAUUUGGGAGCCCCUUUGACUAGACAGUUCUGGCUCAUAUGAUUCGAUUUAUAUUUUACUUCUGUAGAAUCUUGAUUCUAGUCAUAUUUUUUAGAAUGUCAGCAUGAUAA